GUGCUUGCUUCAGCAGCACAUAUACUAAAAUUGGAACAAUACACAGAAGAUUAGCAUGGCCCCUGCACAAGGAUGACACACAAAUUUGUGAAGCAGUCCAUUUUU
rnacentral:snRNA from 1 species